CAGGCUAACACAUGCAAGUCGAGCGGUAAGGCUUUCGGGGUACACGAGCGGCGAACGGGUGAGUAACACGUGGGUGAUCUGCCUGCACUUCGGGAUAAGCCUGGGAAACUGGGUCUAAUACCGGAUAUGACCUCAGGUUGCAUGACUUGGGGUGGAAAGAUUUAUCGGUGCAGGAUGGGCCCGCGGCCUAUCAGCUUGUUGGUGGGGUAAUGGCCUACCAAGGCGGACGACGGGUAGCCGACCUGAGAGGGUGACCGGCCACACUGGGACUGAGACACGGCCCAGACUCCUACGGGAGGCAGCAGUGGGGAAUAUUGCACAAUGGGCGAAACGCGUGAUGCAGCGACGCCGCGUGAGGGAUGACGGCCUUUCGGGUUUGUAAACCUCUUUCAGCAGGGACGAAGCGCAAGUGACGGUACCUGCAGAAGAAGCACCGGUUAAUACGUGCCAGCAGCCGCGGUAAU
rnacentral:rRNA from 1 species